UACGUAGGCAGCAAGCGUUGUUCGGAAUUACUGGGCGUAAAGAGUGUGUAGGCGGUGCUCUAAGUUCGGUGUGAAAUCUCCCGGCUCAACUGGGAGGGUGCGCCGGAAACUGGGGUGCUGGAGCGCGGGAGAGGAAAGCGGAAUUCCUGGUGUAGCGGUGAAAUGCGUAGAUAUCAGGAGGAACACCGGCGGUGUAGACGGCUUUCUGGACCGUAGCUGACGCUGAGGAGCGAAAGCGUGGGGAGCGAACAGG
rnacentral:rRNA from 1 species